rnacentral:rRNA from 1 species
UACGUAGGGCGCAAGCGUUGUCCGGAAUUAUUGGGCGUAAAGAGCUCGUAGGUGGCUUGUCACGUCGGGUGUGAAAGCUUGGGGCUUAACUCCAGGUCUGCAUUCGAUACGGGCUGGCUAGAGGUAGGUAGGGGGAGAACGGAAUUCCUGGUGUAGCGGUGAAAUGCGCAGAUAUCAGGAGGAACACCGAUGGCGAAGGCAGAUCUCUGGGCCGUAACUGACGCUGAGGAGCGAAAGCAUGGGGAGCGAACAGG